UAUUCUAAAAUACCUUAUCGGUGGCUUGGGGAGAUGGAUCAGAGGGUAAAAUACCUUCUGUACAAGCAUGAGGCCUUGAGUUUGGAUCCCCAGAGACUAUGUAGAACAAGCUGCAGAAGUUCUCAUCUUUAAUCCCUGUACUCUUCCAAUGAGAAACGAAAUUCCUCCAGUGAGGAUGCUGGUCAACCUGACAUGAGGGAGAAUAGAGAAAAACUCUCUAAAGAUGGGAGCCAGCAGAAGACAAAGUGACAGACAGUAUAGCAGCACCAGAGAUAACAUGGGUAUCGAACGUGUCAUACCUUCAUUUCCGACAUCACUAAACCCAGGAGGAAGGCACUGCAGGGGACAAUAUGACACGUCGUGUUCUGAAUUUCCGUCCACCAAUGUCCACAAUGGCUGUACACUAGCAUCAUGUGGGGCACUUACACAAAGCUGUACUAGAACCCAGCCCGAGACCAUGAGGUCACUCCCCAGAUAACUACAAUGUCCAUCCAGGUGCACUGUGCGCACCUAGGCAGCCAUCAGUGUAUUUAUAUUUACAUUUUC